rnacentral:rRNA from 1 species
AAACAUCGCCUCUUGCUAACAAUCGUUGUAUAAGAGGUCCAGCCUGCCCAGUGACAUUAAGUUAAAUGGCCGCGGUAUUUCUGACCGUGCUAAGGUAGCGUAAUCACUUGUCUUUUAAAUUAAGACCUGUAUGAAUGGUUAAACGAGGGCUCAACUGUCUCCUUUUUCAAGUCAGUGAAAUUGAUCUGCCCGUGCAGAAGCGGACAUGUAUAUACAAGACGAGAAGACCCUUUGGAGCUUUAAGAUAUAAAGAUCAAGUAUGUUAAGAAUACAAAAAUAGUAAUAAAACAUAAUAUUUACUGAUCUACAUCUUCGGUUGGGGCGACCAUGGGGAAAGAAAAACCCCUAUGUGGAAAGGGCUUACCCUAUAAACCAAGAGGUACACCUCCAAGUCUCAGAAAUUCUGACCUAAUAGAUCCGGCUCAUAAGCUGAUUAACGGACCAAGUUACCCUAGGGAUAACAGCGCAAUCCCCUCCAAGAGCCCAUAUCGACGAGGGGGUUUACGACCUCGAUGUUGGAUCAGGACAUCCUAAUGGUGUAACCGCUAUUAAGGGUUCGUUUGUUCAACGAUUAAAGUCCUACGUG